GACGAACGCUGGCGGCGUGCCUAAUACAUGCAAGUUGAGCGCUGAAGGUUGGUACUUGUACCAACUGGAUGAGCAGCGAACGGGUGAGUAACGCGUGGGGAAUCUGCCUUUGAGCGGGGGACAACAUUUGGAAACGAAUGCUAAUGCCGCAUAAAAACUUUAAACACAAGUUUUAAGUUUGAAAGAUGCAAUUGCAUCACUCAAAGAUGAUCCCGCGUUGUAUUAGCUAGUUGGCGAGGUAAAGGCUCACCAAGGCGAUGAUACAUAGCCGACCUGAGAGGGUGAUCGGCCACAUUGGGACUGAGACACGGCCCAAACUCCUACGGGAGGCAGCAGUAGGGAAUCUUCGGCAAUGGACGAAAGUCUGACCGAGCAACGCCGCGUGAGUGAAGAAGGUUUUCGGAUCGUAAAACUCUGUUGGUAGAGAAGAACGUUGGUGAGAGUGGAAAGCUCAUCAAGUGACGGUAACUACCCAGAAAGGGACGGCUAACUACGUG
rnacentral:rRNA from 1 species